GGCCUGCUGGCCCAAUGGUAAGGCGCUUGACUACGAAUCAAGAGAUUGCAGGUUCGAGUCCUGCGUAGGUCA
rnacentral:tRNA from 1 species